ACCCAGACCGCCAGCUAAGGUCCCAAAGUCAUGGUUAAGUGGGAAACGAUGUGGGAAGGCCCAGACAGCCAGGAUGUUGGCUUAGAAGCAGCCAUCAUUUAAAGAAAGCGUAAUAGCUCACUGGUCGAGUCGGCCUGCGCGGAAGAUGUAACGGGGCUAAACCAUGCACCGAAGCUGCGGCAGCGACGCUGAUGCGUUGUUGGGUAGGGGAGCGUUCUGUAAGCCUGCGAAGGUGUGCUGUGAGGCAUGCUGGAGGUAUCAGAAGUGCGAAUGCUGACAUAAGUAACGAUAAAGCGGGUGAAAAGCCCGCUCGCCGGAAGACCAAGGGUUCCUGUCCAACGUUAAUCGGGGCAGGGUGAGUCGACCCCUAAGGCGAGGCCGAAAGGCGUAGUCGAUGGGAAACAGGUUAAUAUUCCUGUACUUGGUGUUACUGCGAAGGGGGGACGGAGAAGGCUAUGUUGGCCGGGCGACGGUUGUCCCGGUUUAAGCGUGUAGGCUGGUUUUCCAGGCAAAUCCGGAAAAUCAAGGCUGAGGCGUGAUGACGAGGCACUACGGUGCUGAAGCAACAAAUGCCCUGCUUCCAGGAAAAGCCUCUAAGCAUCAGGUAACAUCAAAUCGUACCCCAAACCGACACAGGUGGUCAGGUAGAGAAUACCAAGGCGCUUGAGAGAACUCGGGUGAAGGAACUAGGCAAAAUGGUGCCGUAACUUCGGGAGAAGGCACGCUGAUAUGUAGGUGAAGUCCCUUGCGGAUGGAGCUGAAAUCAGUCGAAGAUACCAGCUGGCUGCAACUGUUUAUUAAAAACACAGCACUGUGCAAACACGAAAGUGGACGUAUACGGUGUGACGCCUGCCCGGUGCCGGAAGGUUAAUUGAUGGGGUCAGCGCAAGCGAAGCUCUUGAUCGAAGCCCCGGUAAACGGCGGCCGUAACUAUAACGGUCCUAAGGUAGCGAAAUUCCUUGUCGGGUAAGUUCCGACCUGCACGAAUGGCGUAAUGAUGGCCAGGCUGUCUCCACCCGAGACUCAGUGAAAUUGAACUCGCUGUGAAGAUGCAGUGUACCCGCGGCAAGACGGAAAGACCCCGUGAACCUUUACUAUAGCUUGACACUGAACAUUGAGCCUUGAUGUGUAGGAUAGGUGGGAGGCUUGGAAGUGUGGACGCCAGUCUGCAUGGAGCCGACCUUGAAAUACCACCCUUUAAUGUUUGAUGUUCUAACGUUGACCCGUAAUCCGGGUUGCGGACAGUGUCUGGUGGGUAGUUUGACUGGGGCGGUCUCCUCCUAAAGAGUAACGGAGGAGCACGAAGGUUGGCUAAUCCUGGUCGGACAUCAGGAGGUUAGUGCAAUGGCAUAAGCCAGCUUGACUGCGAGCGUGACGGCGCGAGCAGGUGCGAAAGCAGGUCAUAGUGAUCCGGUGGUUCUGAAUGGAAGGGCCAUCGCUCAACGGAUAAAAGGUACUCCGGGGAUAACAGGCUGAUACCGCCCAAGAGUUCAUAUCGACGGCGGUGUUUGGCACCUCGAUGUCGGCUCAUCACAUCCUGGGGCUGAAGUAGGUCCCAAGGGUAUGGCUGUUCGCCAUUUAAAGUGGUACGCGAGCUGGGUUUAGAACGUCGUGAGACAGUGCGGUCCCUAGCUGCCGUGGGCGCUGGAGAACUGAGGGGGGCUGCUCCUAGUACGAGAGGACCGGAGUGGACGCAUCACUGGUGUUCGGGUUGUCAUGCCAAUGGCACUGCCCGGUAGCUAAAUGCGGAAGAGAUAAGUGCUGAAAGCAUCUAAGCACGAAACUUGCCCCGAGAUGAGUUCUCCCUGACCCUUUAAGGGUCCUGAAGGAACGUUGAAGACGACGACGUUGAUAGGCCGGGUGUGUAAGCGCAGCGAUGCGUUGAGCUAACCGGUACUAAUGAACCGUGAGGCUUAACCUUACAACGCCGAAGGUGUUU
rnacentral:rRNA from 1 species